rnacentral:sRNA from 1 species
ACAACAACAAUGACAAACCCGAACUCAAUAACAACAACAGUCAACGCCUCUGACAUAACAACGACAAGACGGCAGGGACGUAGCAAACAGAUUCUUUUGACGUGGCUGUAGGUGCCCGGGAAAGAACGGACUGUCGCUUCAGGCAGCAGCCCGGUACCGGUUGAAGUAGCCGACACCCGCAGUCAAAAAAAUACGUUCGCUCUUGGCUCCAUGUGGGAGCCGUCAGCAACAGACACCAACGGCCAUAACAACAACAAGGCCGGGGGCAGGCAAAGAUACGCAGUUGAAUGUUCAAGGGGAGCCUCAGGCUCCCCUUUUUGCUGCGCGCGCAAAAUCCUCCGGU